rnacentral:rRNA from 1 species
GAUGAACGCUGGCGGCGUGCCUAAUACAUGCAAGUCGAGCGAACAGACGAGGAGCUUGCUCCUCUGACGUUAGCGGCGGACGGGUGAGUAACACGCGGAUAACCUACCUAUAAGACUGGGAUAACUUCGGGAAACCGGAGCUAAUACCGGAUAAUAUAUUGAACCGCAUGGUUCAAUAGUGAAAGACGGUUUUGCUGUCACUUAUAGAUGGAUCCGCGCCGCAUUAGCUAGUUGGUAAGGUAACGGCUUACCAAGGCAACGAUGCGUAGCCGACCUGAGAGGGUGAUCGGCCACACUGGAACUGAGACACGGUCCAGACUCCUACGGGAGGCAGCAGUAGGGAAUCUGCCGCAAUGGGCGAAAGCCUGACGGAGCAACGCCGCGUGAGUGAUGAAGGUCUUCGGAUCGUAAAACUCUGUUAUUAGGGAAGAACAAAUGUGUAAGUAACUAUGCACGUCUUGACGGUACCUAAUCAGAAAGCCACGGCUAACUACGUG